rnacentral:rRNA from 1 species
AACGUAGGGGACAAGCGUUAUCCGGAUUUACUGGGCGUAAAGCGCCCCGUAGGCGGCUUUUUAAGUUGGACGUGAAAGCUCCCGGCUUAACUGGGAGAGGCCGUUCAAAACUGAGAGGCUAGAGUGAGGCAGAGGAGCGCGGAAUUCCCGGUGUAGUGGUGGAAUGCGCAGAUAUCAGGAGGAACACCGAUGGCGAAGGCAGCUCGCUGGGACGGUACUGACGCUGAGGCGCGAAAGCGUGGGGAGCGAACAGG